rnacentral:tRNA from 1 species
AGCCCUGAGGUGUAUUGACAUGUAAGAUUGCAAAUCUUAAGGAGCAGAUUAGUCGUCUGCCGGGGCUU